AUAACUCCGGGAAACCGGGGCUAAUACCGAAUAAUCCAUUUUGCUUCAUGGCGAGAUGUUAAAAGGCGGCUUCGGCUGUCACUGCAAGAUGGGCCCGCGGCGCAUUAGCUAGUUGGUAAGGUAACGGCUUACCAAGGCGACGAUGCGUAGCCGACCUGAGAGGGUGAUCGGCCACACUGGGACUGAGACACGGCCCAGACUAAUACGGGAGGCAGCAGUAGGGAAUCUUCCACAAUGGACGAAAGUCUGAUGGAGCAACGCCGCGUGAGUGAAGAAGGUUUUCGGAUCGUAAAACUCUGUUGUAAGGGAAGAACACGUACGAGAGUAACUGCUCGUACCUUGACGGUACCUUAUUAGAAAGCCACGGCUAACUACGUGCCAGCAGCCGCGGUAAUACGUAGGUGGCAAGCGUUGUCCGGAAUUAUUGGGCGUAAAGCGCGCGCAGGCGGUCCUUUAAGUCUGAUGUGAAAGCCCACGGCUCAACCGUGGAGGGUCAUUGGAAACUGGGGGACUUGAGUACAGAAGAGGAAAGCGGAAUUCCAAGUGUAGCGGUGAAAUGCGUAGAGAUUUGGAGGAACACCAGUGGCGAAGGCGGCUUUCUGGUCUGUAACUGACGCUGAGGCGCGAAAGCGUGGGGAGCAAACAGGAUUAGAUACCCUGGUAGUCCACGCCGUAAACGAUGAGUGCUAAGUGUUAGGGGGUUUCCGCCCCUUAGUGCUGCAGCUAACGCAUUAAGCACUCCGCCUGGGGAGUACGGCCGCAAGGCUGAAACUCAAAGGAAUUGACGGGGGCCCGCACAAGCGGUG
rnacentral:rRNA from 1 species